UGGAGGGCAGGUCUGGUGCCAGCAGCCGCGGUAAUUCCAGCUCCAAUAGCGUAUAUUGAAGUUGUUGCAGUUAAAAAGCUCGUAGUUGAAUUUCGGGAUUUGUCAGUUGGUCGGGCUUAACUGUCCGUAUUGACUCGAUGGAUCCUUACCUUCUGAAUAACCAGCAUGCUAUUAAUUUAGUGCGUUGGGGAAGCAGAUCUAUUACCUUGAAAAAAUUAGAGUGCUUAAAGCGAGCUAGUGCUUGAAUAGAUUAGCAUGGAAUAAUAAAAUAGGACGACAUGGUUCUAUUUUGUUGGUUUCUAGGAUCACCGUAAUGAUUAAUAGGGAUAGUUGGGGGCAUUAGUAUUCAAUUGUCAGAGGUGAAAUUCUUGGAUUUAUUGAAGACUAACUUCUGCGAAAGCAUUUGCCAAGGAUGUUUUCAUUAAUCAAGAACGAAAGUUAGGGGAUCGAAGACGAUCAGAUACCGUCGUAGUCUUAACCAUAAACUAUGCCGACUAGGAAUCGGACGAUGUUAAUUUUAUAAUGACUCGUUCGGCACCUUACGGGAAAC
rnacentral:rRNA from 1 species